UACGGGGGGGGCAAGCGUUGUUCGGAAUUACUGGGCGUAAAGGGCUCGUAGGCGGCCAACUAAGUCAGACGUGAAAUCCCUCGGCUUAACCGGGGAACUGCAUCUGAUACUGGAUGGCUUGAAUCCGGGAGAGGGAUGUGGAAUUCCAGGUGUAGCGGUGAAAUGCGUAGAUAUCUGGAGGAACACCGGUGGCGAAGGCGGCAUCCUGGACCGGUAUUGACGCUGAGGCGCGAAAGCUAGGGGAGCAAGCGGG
rnacentral:rRNA from 1 species